rnacentral:lncRNA from 1 species
AAAAGGAAAUGCUUGCAGAUAGUUAUGAUUCCUUUUGGGAUUUUUCUGCACUUACAUUUCACAGCAGAAUGCUGAUCUAGGGCCCCAACUUGUGCCCAUUGAAGGGAAUAGGAGUUUUGCCAUUGACUUCAAUAGGAGCAGUCCCUUAACAAUCACUGGAAACUAGUACUGAAUCAUAAAUACCCCAUUAUUUGUGUUCAGAUCAUCAAGUUAAUUUGGGGGUAACACUACAAACUCGAGGUGAGAUUGGCAGCAUCCUCUGAGUUGGAGAAGCUUAAUCACCCAUAGAAGUCUAUAUAUUAAAUUAAAAAAAUGAAGGGCUACUCUUACUCAUGCUGAAGAGUGCCUUACUCUGCAAAUAGUCCUAUUGAGCUCAAUGGGGGUACACAAAUAGUAAUUACUACUCGACAUGAGUAGUGGCAGAAUCUGUUCCUAAAAUGUAGAUAAAAAGGCAUCUGUUAGCGUUAUUAACACCUUUAAAUUAAACCUCACGUUAAUCAUAAUCAAUAAUAUGGGUCAAUGUAAGAACCAGUUUCUGAUCCACUUGCUAAUACUUAAUAGAGCCUUAUUCCACAACUGGUGUCUUUGCCUUUAAAGGGACUAUUUGUGGAGUAAUGUGCUAUGCAGUCUGAGUAAGAGAAAUUGGAUUUUGGUCUUACAUGAACAAUUACAAUUCAUAUUUCCAUGGGCAGAAACAAACAACUUCUGGGUUAUAUAGCUUUUUUUUUUUUUUUUUUUUGGAGGUACAAUGAAUUUGUGUUAAUUCUUAAUGGGGUUUUGUAUUUAAACACUUUGAAAACCAUAAAUUAAUGAUGGGUUGAAGAUAUAUAUGUAUAUGUAUAUAUGUGUAUUAUAUAUAUCUACUAUAUAUAUAUACACACACACACACACACACACACAUACACACACACAAACACAUACACACCAGUAUAGAUAUACAUAUAUAUAAAUUAUGAAAGCCAAGAUAUUAUGAAGCCUAUUUUGUUUUUAUCAUUUUGUGUUUUGUUGUUGAUGUUAUUAUUAUUAUUAUUUUGCAUAUUACAUGCAGUGCUUUAACCAAUGUCUGUUUGGCUAAUGUAAUUAAAGUUGUUAAUUUAUAUGAGUACAUUUCAACUAUGUCAAUGGUUUCUUAAUAUUUAUUGUGUAGAAGGACUGUUUUUUAAAUUUACAAUAUGUUUAAAGAGGUAACAGUUUGAUAUGUUCUCAUUUGUUUAUAUUAGAAGUUAUUUAUUUUCAUGGCAUUCCAUCUGAUAUUUUGAUAUUUGAAGGCAUGCUACCUAUACUUUGUACAGUUAGUGGGCAGUAUUCAUCAGCUCCCAGUAGAUUCUUACGCCUUACAUUAAAUAAAAGACCUGUUCGGGGAUUUUUAUUUUAAAUC